UUCGGCCUUAGUGGCGCACGGGUGCGUAACGCGUGGGAAUCUGCCCUUGGGUUCGGAAUAACAGUUAGAAACGACUGCUAAUACCGGAUGAUGUCUUCGGACCAAAGUUUUAUCGCCCAAGGAUGAGCCCGCGUCGGAUUAGCUAGUUGGUGGGGUAAAGGCUCACCAAGGCGACGAUCCUUUGCUGGUCUGAGAGGAUGAUCAGCCACACUGGGACUGAGACACGGCCCAGACUCCUACGGGAGGCAGCAGUGGGGAAUAUUGGACAAUGGGCGAAAGCCUGAUCCAGCAAUGCCGCGUGAGUGAUGAAGGCCUUAGGGUUGUAAAGCUCUUUUACCCGGGAUGAUAAUGACAGUACCGGAAGAAUAAGCUCCGGCUAACUCCGUGCCAGCAGCCGCGGUAAU
rnacentral:rRNA from 1 species